GCCAAGGCAUGUGGUCAGAGGACCACAACAACGUGUACGCACUGUUGCACGCCGUUGCCCACGUCCAGGGAGUGCAAGCACAUGGCAGCAAGAAGUUCUUAAACCACUAAAUAUGUCAACAUCAAACAGGAAGUUGAUCGAUGGGCUCCAGUUUUCAUCACUAUUUUUGCAUGGACACAUGAUGUGUAGCAUGAACUGGUACAAACUUUGGCCUAUGUUGACUGCUUUGGUCAGUUCAGUAAGUAGUUUUUUUCUUCCCCUUUUGCAGCAGAAAAUGGAAAUGCAGGUUCAUGGGAAGAAUCAAGUGGAUCUGCUCGCAGCUCUGACAUGGACCUCAUCUGUAAGGUAAAGAUUUAAAG